ACAAUAGGUUGCUAAGCCGCGAGGUGGAGCCAAUCCUCAAAGUUAGGUCUCAGUUCAGAUUGCAGGCUGCCAACCGCCUGCAUGAAGAUGGAGUUGCUAGUAACCGCAGGUCAGCUAUACUGCGGUGAAUACGUUCCCGGGGCUU
rnacentral:rRNA from 1 species